rnacentral:rRNA from 1 species
UACGGGGGGAGCAAGCGUUGUUCGGAUUUACUGGGCGUAAAGGGCGCGUAGGCGGCCACCGCAAGUCGGUUGCGAAAUCUCCGGGCUUAACCCGGAAAGGUCAAUCGAUACUGCGGGGCUAGAGUGCAGAAGGGGCAACUGGAAUUCUCGGUGUAGCGGUGAAAUGCGUAGAUAUCGAGAGGAACACCUACGGCGAAGGCGGGUUGCUGGGCUGACACUGACGCUGAAGCGCGAAAGCUAGGGGAGCGAACGGG